rnacentral:rRNA from 1 species
ACGGAGGGUGCAAGCGUUGUUCGGAAUUAUUGGGCGUAAAGGGCGCGUAGGCGGUAGUGUUAGUGAGAUGUGAAAUCCUUUGGCUUAACUGUAGAACUGCAUUCGAAAUUGCGCAACUAGAGUACUGGAGAGGGAAAUGGAAUUCCAGGUGUAGAGGUGAAAUGCGUAGAUAUCGGGAGGAACACCAGUGGCGAAGGCGAUUUCCUGGCCUGAUACUGACGCUGAGGCGCGAAAGCGUGGGGAGCAAACAG